rnacentral:lncRNA from 1 species
AGCACAGAAUAUCAGGCUCGAGCAACCUUUUGAAUAGUCAUCGGGAAGCCAAUGCAUAGAAGGGCGUCGGUUAUCUCCUGGAUCAUCAUGAGAGCCUUAUAGCUCUCUAGGUGAUCAAUUGGAUCGGUGGAGCCAUCAUAUGGCUUCAUCUACGGUAUCUUGAAUCGAGAUGAAAUCGGCUCAUCCAGGAUGCACUGAGAGAGAGAUUGGACAGUGUGAA